rnacentral:lncRNA from 1 species
UGUACGUGGUGGUGGGGGUGACCUAGACGGGGGAUUAGGUGAUGAUGGAGGUGGAGACCUGGUCGGUGGAGGAGAGGUUGUUGAAGGUGGUGGAUUGGUCAGUGGAGGAGAGGUUGCUGGAGGUGGAGGAGAGGUUCUUGAAGGUGGAGGAGAGGUUGUUGAAGGUGGAGGAUUGGUCGGUGGAGGAGAAGUUGUUGAAGGUGGAGGAUUGGUUGGUGGCGGAGAGGUUGCUGGAGGUGGAGGAGAGGCUGCCGGAGGUGGAGGAGAGGCAGGUGGAGGUGAAGAAUUGGUCGGUGGAGUAGGUGAGGAUGGCGGUGGAGGAUUGGGCGGUGGACUGGUUGAAACAGGUGGAGGAGCAGACAUGGUCGGCGGUGUUGAUGGAGGUGGGGAAAUAACUGGCGGAGGAGGUGAUGUCGGCGGUGGUGAUGAUGGAGGAGGGGAUGACGUUGAAGGGGGUGG